UCCUCGAUAGCUCAAUCGGUAGAGCAUGCGGCUGUUAACCGCAGGGUUGCAGGUUCGAGUCCUGCUCGAGGAG
rnacentral:tRNA from 1 species